AUAAAGUUCUUUUUUAGUUUUUAGAUUCAAUGUUUUGACUCUUCGUCUUAUUUGAAAUUUUUUUGUGAUUAAUAUUUAUAUUGUUAUACUAGAUGAUAAAAUAUGAAUAAUACUUUAUGCGUGAUUAAUUUUUUUAAGUUUUUUUUACAAAUUUUUAAAUAAGACGAAUGGUUAAAACAUUGGGCAUACAAAUCGAAAAAUGACAUUAUU
rnacentral:pre_miRNA from 1 species